UACGUAGGCAGCGAGCGUUGUUCGGAGUUACUGGGCGUAAAGGGUGUGUAGGCGGUUGUUUAAGUUUGGUGUGAAAUCUCCCGGCUCAACUGGGAGGGUGCGCCGAAUACUGAGCGACUAGAGUGCGGGAGAGGAAAGUGGAAUUCCGUGGUGUAGCGGUGAAAUGCGUAGAUAUCAGGAGGAACACCGGUGGUGUAGACGGCUUUCUGGACCGUAACUGACGCUGAGACACGAAAGCGUGGGUAGCAAACAGG
rnacentral:rRNA from 1 species